UCCCAGUUAACCUGGGCAGUCUCAUUAGAGUCCCCACCUCUCGUGUUGGCAACUAAUGAUAAGGGUUGCGCUCGUUGCGGGACUUAACCCAACACCUCACGGCACGAGCUGACGACAGCCAUGCAGCACCUAUACAGACGUCCUUUCGGAUAAUAACAUCUCUGUUAUCGCCAUCUGCAUUUCGAGCCUGGGUAAGGUUCUUCGCGUAGCAUCGAAUUAAACCACAUGCUCCACUGCUUGUGCGGGCCCCCGUCAAUUCUUUUGAGUUUCACUCUUGCGAGCGUACUCCCCAGGCGGCAUACUUAUCGCGUUAGCUUCGACACAGACAGGGUUGAGCCCAUCUACAUCUAGUAUGCAUCGUUUACGGCAAGGACUAC
rnacentral:misc_RNA from 1 species